AUAAUGAUAUAAUUAAAGUAUUCUUUUGUUUUUGUUGGUUAAGCAAAUCCGCCUACAACUAAUGUUUGGUUGCCAUAGAAACGAAACUUCCAUUCCUUUAGUCUGUCUCGCGUAGACCAGUAGAGUAGAAAAAUGAUAAAACUUUGUAAAAUUCUUGGCUAUGCCUAACGGCAAGUAUUCCCAGCACACACUGAUGUAAGGAUGCGAGCUAACUAAUGGUUGUCUCGUUUCCAUGGCAAUUUCUUACAUGGUUUUUCCACAUUUUACCAUGUGCUUCAAUUUGGCCUAAAACUCGAUGCAAUUGUGCUAUUUGACAAUAGGGGGCAUUUUUAUUUGAAAAGGGUGGUCGGAUUUUUUUGGAACAUACUGUACUUCUGGCCUAUGAAAGUAUGAAUUCUCUCAGAACACUCUGAAGUGUUCAACAGUGAAGUAUGGUACGUCCGUCAGAAAAUUGCAUAAAUCAUAUGGUGAAAACCCGAAUUCUAAUGGAUGAACGCCGUGGGGGUGAUUUAAAGGUAUUGGCUUUUCAACCUUACCUGGAAUGAAGGGGGUUAUUACUUUAGGUUGUCCUCCAUGAUGGAGAGCUCUUGGUCUUGGAUAAUCAUUAGUUUUCCUUAAAUGCUGUAGUUUUCAACUGAUGUUUGGUCUGCUGGACAAUGCAUGUGUCUGUAAUGGUGAAUCAUUCUCUAUGAUGAAUCUCUGCUUCAUGUGUUUAUAGCUACAGUUAUGGUGCCUCUGUCUGCUAGCCAUUUAACAUCUGUUUGGUUUAAGGGGGUGACUGUUGCAUGGGAUCUUCCAAUCUUCUAAAGUUACUUCACAGUAAAUCAUUUAGAAUAUUAUUUCAUGCAUAAUUUAUUGGUGGCUACUCUGCAAUUUGUAUUUUAAUGUUUGCAAUGAUCGUAGAAUAUUGCUUGUAGUUACCAGCUGGGAGCUUUGACAAUUGAAGUGGACCUUCUAGAACACUACCAACAUUUAUAAUUGUGUGGCUUACUUUUAGUUGUUUUCUUUGCAGGUCCUUUUGGUCAUUGUGCUUCAUUUGGUGUGGAGCUGAUUGAUUUGGUGGUAAAAGCUUUCCACUGUUCUGUUUGAGAAUCUUUUCCCCCUAUAGCAAUCCACUUUUGAUUGGUGUUUGAAAGUUCUCAUGGACAAGUGAGUAACUCAUCCACUGAAUGGGUUUAGUGUUCAUUUUGUCAGAAGUUGGCACUGCAAUUUCCAUAAUGGGAUUUAUCUUAGUUGCUAGCUGGUUUCUUAUCUCUUUUAGAAGGAUAACUGCUGCAUUUUCCGUCAUGUUUGUGAACCUGCAUCCGUGGUCUGCAGGUAUUUGAGAUUAGCACACUUUACCUUCCUGUGGAGGUCGAUUUCUAUUCACUUCGUAUCCAAUGCUUUCUUUGUGUUGUACUUUCACUGAAAGGUGGUUGGGGAGGAUUUGGCUUGGCGGCUAGGCUGGUUGGAUGCUGAGAUUACAUUUAUAGUUUGUCUUGUUUUAGUGAUUGGAGUGUGUUCUGGCUUAUCCGCAUGUUUCCUGUGUGCUGGUCCUAACCCUGUGGAAUCCGGGAAACUUUAUACAGACGGUCAACAUUAUAUCAGCAAUUCAGCUCGUCCCAGUCGAGCUCACCCCCGACAAGUCUUUAUCGUAUGGCAUGAUACAGAUUGAAGGUUCGAAAUGGAAUGGAAUUCCCGUCAAAUUUAAAGUUGAGUAUUUCGGCCACCUAAUCCGGAUUAUUGUAUCCGUUGCCAAAAAGAAAUAACUUUUGUUAAUAGUUCUUUUGUCUUUAUUUUGAUCCGUCUUUUUUGGUGAUAUCUGAGCUUAACCCAGUUAAGCUUACUAAUUACUAGUAUUUUCCUGGAACAUGAGAUUAAACAUUAAAUAAAGGUCGUUUUAAGUGUAGUUUAUCGAAAAUCUGGUUGCAUGAUAGACGGUUAAAGCUUAUAGAUCACUUUCAUUCUUCGUGUUCUUUUCAUUUAGUAAACAGUAUGAAUACACAGUUAAAGCUGGAA